rnacentral:rRNA from 1 species
CAGCCGCCGCGGUAAUACGUAGGUGGCAAGCGUUGCCCGGAAUUAUUGGGCGUAAAGCGCGCGCAGGCGGAUAGGUCAGUCUGUCUUAAAAGUUCGGGGCUUAACCCCGUGAUGGGAUGGAAACUGCCAAUCUAGAGUAUCGGAGAGGAAAGUGGAAUUCCUAGUGUAGCGGUGAAAUGCGUAGAUAUUAGGAAGAACACCAGUGGCGAAGGCGACUUUCUUGACGAAAACUGACGCUGAGGCGCGAAAGCCAGGGGAGCGAACGGGAUUAGAUACCCCAGUAGUCCCUGUCUCUUAUACA